rnacentral:rRNA from 1 species
AGGCCCGCCAUAGGAGGUAACAGCCCUGUAGUCAAAACUUCGUUCUCUCCAGAGUGGAUCCUGAGUACGGCGGAACACGUGAAAUUCCGUCGGAAUCCGGGAGGACCAUCUCCCAAGGCUAAAUACUCCCUAGUGACCGAUAGUGAACCAGUACCGGGAGGGAAAGGUGAAAAGCACCCCGGAAGGGGAGUGAAAGAGAUCCUGAAACCGUGUGCCUACAAGUAGUCAGAGCCCGUUAACGGGUGAUGGCGUGCCUUUUGUAGAAUGAACCGGCGAGUUACGAUCCCGUGCAAGGUUAAGCAGAAGAUGCGGAGCCGCAGCGAAAGCGAG